CAGGGAUGCUGGGUUUCACAUUCUUAUCACCAGCUAUCAGCUACUUGUUUCUGAUGAGAAGUACUUUCGGCGGGUGAAAUGGCAAUAUAUGGUGUUGGAUGAAGCCCAAGCAAUUAAAAGUUCAAACAGUAUAAGAUGGAGGACACUGCUUAGUUUUAAUUGCCGAAAUAGGCUUCUGCUUACUGGCACUCCAAUCCAAAAUAAUAUGGCAGAGUUGUGGGCCUUACUACAUUUCAUUAUGCCAACCUUAUUUGAUAGUCACGAACAGUUUAAUGAGUGGUUUUCUAAAGGAAUUGAGAGCCAUGCAUAACAUGGUGGUACUUUGAAUGAGCACCAGCUUAACCGAUUG